AUUUCCAGGCAGAUAAACCCCCAAGCUUGUGCCCCUGGUUAAAAGGCUUCCAGGAGGGGUUACACAUUCCAGGCACGUCCUGGCUCAAGCUGAGUUAGUCAUGCGUCUCACCAAGCGUGUCAGAUCUGAGACGAUCUGUCUCCCUUGCUGCUGCUCUCCAAAUCCAUGCACUGUAAAAGACAGUAAUCAACAAAAGGGCAGUUGGAGUUGUGGAGCCUGGUUACAUGAUCUUGUCACUUCUUUCAUCCUGAUCUUCAGAGACAGUGUUUUGUGUGCAGAAGUAUUAUUUUCAGGGGCCUGGGAAAGUGGCUGGGACUGUACUGUUCAGCUGUAGGGCACUGGCUCGAAUAAAAUAGUGGCAGCCAGCGAUUGAGAUAUUUUUCAUUUUCCUUUCUUUAGGAGAAAACCCAUGAAAAGUUGAUGCCAUGAUCCUCAUGAUCAUAUUCUGUGUCUGGAAGCUACUGCUAAAGCUGCUAGUCAUUACAUGUAGGAUUGCACUAUCAUGUCUUCAAAUAUAUUCAAAAACCUGUUCAUGUGCCUUCCCUUACAUGCUUGCCACCUGAGGGCAUAAUCUAGUGACAAUAUAAUCACUUCCAUAGCAACCAGCAUGCCAUAAACAGGAUUAUGACACCUAGGCAGGAUGGAGGCACAAAGAAUUCAGAGAACUCCCCCCUCAUUAUCAUGGAGCAGAGCAGGGUAAAUAGUGAAAAUAGUGACCUGAGUGUGGCACCCAGGGGCUGUGUCACCAGAGAACAGGGGAGGAGGAAGGACAGGGGUUCACGUGUGUGGUGUGUCCUUAAACUGAUGUGACAAAACCUUGAGAAGGUGAAUCUGUGUCGUUAGCAGGGCAAGUCCUGGACUUAAAAGGAAAGCUUUGUCUGCCUGAAGUGUCACCACUUCCUCUUCUGCAUCUCUCCAGUGCAGAAGGGUUUGGUGCUGUCCAAGCCUGCAGUGCACAGGCUGGAGCUGGUGCUAGAAGAGGUCACUCUUCUGGGAACUGUGGAGCAUUGCAAAAAUAUUUCCUCCCUUGUGCGGUGUUUGGAAAGAUGUUUUUUCUAAUAACCCAGAUAAACUGCAUGUUCUCAAGUCCUGUGUGGUUUGAGUGUUUUGUUGUUGCUGGUGGCUUUUUAUUUAGAUUAUUUUUGCAGCAUGCAGGUGCUUAGAUAUACUCAAAGAGCCCAGGAGAAAACUUAAGUGUUGUCACUUUCCUUACAAGUUACAUGAGAGUUUUGAAGUUGUUUUUAAAACCCCCAAACAAUCUAACCCAAACAUCUUUAUGUUGUAGAAAUCCAUGCAAACAAAUUGACUUUAGGUUUGUCUGUGUGUACAGUGAAACCCCAGGAAUCCCAUAGUUGUAUGGAGCCCAAACUUUGCUGCAAGAUUUGUGCUUGUGAUCUGAAUCUGUGGAAAAUGUGUCUGUUUCUCUACAGAUUUACAGAUCUCUUUUUUAAACAUUAUGAGGAGGGAGAUUCUGACCAGUCUCUGUAACUGUGUACUCAAAGUCUCCUUUACUUUUUAAUGACAUUAAAUUUUUCGGUCCUGAUUUCCCAUGGAAUGGCACUGCUGUAUCAGUGCUGCAGUGCCAAGACCUGUGUGUGUUGGUGAAACUGCAUCCAGCACCCAUUUGGAAUAAAUACAUUUUUAUUGCUUGUUGAACAAGAUACAGAGAUGGAUAGUACUGUAAUCUAACAUACUCAGCACGAUUUAAAAUUAGAUUUGGCUGUGAACCUGGAUGUUUGUCUAUGAUAGGCACCUACAGACAGGACCUCAGCAGAGAAACAGUGCAAAAUUGUGGUUUCUACACUGAGCCUUUUUUUUGUGUAAAUGGCACCUAAAUCUGAGGUCCUGCAUGGGGAAUUCUAACACUGAUGUGACCCUCCCAUCCCUAAUAAAAUUUGUAGCUUUAGACAUUUUAAUCACACCUGUGUGAAGUGGAAAUUUGUGGUUCCUGAGGUCAUGGUCCAGGAGGGUGGCUGGAAUAUUUUGCACCCUGGAGCUGCUCAGUGAUUAAAUCAAGGGACUGACCAGGCUGGAAACAGGUUUUCACAGCAGCUCAGAGGUAGGUCUGGUUCCAGUUAUAGUGUAACCAGGCCUGGUAUGCACAGGAGCAGCCCUGCUCUAGGCCAGGGUGUUUGAGCAGCUGCCCAGUGAACCAGACUGAACAUCUGAUCCAGGCAUGAAACACUGGAUAUUCAUGGCUGAUGAAUUGUUAUAACCCUGGCUUGGCAUAAACCUGGCAUGGAAACAAAGUCCCUGUGCCUUCCUGGUGCUCCAGCACUAAGAGUUGGGUGGAAAAGUGUAGGACAUGGCAGACUUUGUUGAAUCUCCCUUUUGGAAUAUCUUGGAGUGCUCAAGCAAGAAGCAGAAAUCAGGGACCAAAUAAAAGGUUGCUGGCUUAAUUCUGUCUUCAUGUGACUCUAUAGGCUUUCCUAAAUUAUAGCUUUUUUUUUUAAUCAUCAUGGAAAAAACACGCUUCUGGUUUUGGCUAAUAGAUGAGCUGUUUCCUGUCCUUUAUGGCUUCUUUCUGGUUUGGAGUUUGAAACAAUGCUGUGAGCAAAUGGAACAACCCACUGGACUGCUGGUGAAAGGGUCUGUAAUAGCAUUUUAUUUCUGGUUCAUUUGUGACCUGCAGAAUUGCAGCUGAGCAGGGAAUAUUCCUCUUAAAGUGCUAACAUCUACCCAUCCUUUUCAGAGCUGAUUCCUUCUGUGCUUCCCUCUGCCCUUAAGGCCCCACUCUCCAUCACUUUAACAGUCUUGAGCAGUUCUUGUUGCCACACGAUCAAUCUUCCCCUUCCACAGCAGCAGGUUAUCUGUGAUGUGAUGCUCUGCUUGGUGGUGUAUGUGCAUCUGCUCCUCACCAAUGUGCCUGAAAGCUCUGGAUGUGGCCAGUGAAAUGGGAUGUGGCAGGGUCUGAGUGGGGGUGACAUCUCACUCCGCAGCUGGAGGAGCAGUGGCACAGAUGACUCCACCAGAGCCUGGGGCUCAGCUGGGCUCUGUCACGUAGCUCCAGUCCCCACCUUCCCUGCAAGCUCCCCUCUUGCAAGCCCAUCUGCAUUUUGAAGUCCUCUUCAGAGUUGUACCUCUUUAGAGGAGUGAUGAGAAAGCGAAAUACAGGGCUGUGCAAUUCAGUUCAGGCCCAUCCAUUUGUCAGGGAAAUGGUUUUCCAGGGCUGCAUUCUUAUAGGAAGUGUCAGGCCUGAUAAAUAGGCUCGAGCUUGCUUACUUCCUCAUUUUCCCUAGAGCUUAGUUUCUAGAAAGAGAUAGUGUUAUGUAAAAUACAGGAGAUAGUCACCAGGGACCAACCUGGAUUGGAGACAAGGCAGAAAUAUUUUAAUUUUGAAGCUGGCUGGAUAAACAGUUAAAUGAACAAACACUUUCUUUUAUUUUAUAGAGAUUUUACUGUAAAAAAAAACAGAAAGGAAGGGAAGCAAGAUGGACACAUUGAAGUAUCUGGGAGGGAACAUCCUUUCAGAUGUUUGGUGCAUUGGAGAUAAAGGCAACCUCCCUUUAAUCAGUGGCCUUUUUUCCUAGUGCUUUUUUAAUGCAGUGCAGCCAGUGAGUCUGGGUUUCUGAGUUUCUUAUUUCUGGGCACUGGCUGAAAUAGCUCUUCCUGCUGGAAUCAAAAUCGGAAAUGACCUGAGCUGCACAUGCUGAACAAGAGGAAGAAGGGGAGUGGCUUGCUAGCUGGAAACUUGGUAGUUCUGUUUAUCUGUUCAGUAGCUGAGAAAUAAUUACUUUUCAAGUGUUCAGAAGUUGGCUAGUGGGGCCAUUCAUUGUUUUGUUAUCCACAAACGUAUGAUGACGGGGAAAAAAGGCUGUUCUCCUCUUAAGAUUUUAGUUAUAAUAAAGUUUGUGACUAAUAUUGUUAUGAAAGCAUUUUUUUCAUCAACGCCACUUUCAUAGAGAGAGUUGUCUUGAAUCUGCAUCAGAUCUGUUAGUCUGAAUAAGGAUUCUUACAUGCUUGGUGAACAGAAGGAAAGCAGUCAGGUAACAGCCACAUGUGGGAUGUGGCUGGACAUGCUUUAACCCUGGUCACUGCUUUGCAGUGUCACACUGUCAUGUAAGGUAUUUAAGUGUUAUCCAGUGAUUCCCAGGCCCCAUAGAUGGAAUUUAAAGUUAACUUUAGAACUAAGAACCACUUGAAUCCUUUUUCCUUACUAUAUCAGCAUGUAUUCAAAAGAGUUAAGAGUUUUAUUUCCAAGUUAUGUUCAUGUUUCAUGAAUCUUUUCAUCUGGAUCGAUUAAUUAUAAAAAGGCUUCUUCUCUCAUUUAAUUUUUGUGGGAGUAAAUUUUUCCUAGUGCCCGUUUGCUUGGGAGUAGCCAAAGGAUUUGAAUCUUGGCUAUGGCUUAAAUUUUGUUUUUUCAGUUGAGGGGAAAAGGAAAAGGGUGUCUCCAGAGGGCAGAACAAAGUGACCAGCAUGUCUUAAGUGUGAAUGAUGAGGUCUUCCUUAAUGCUUUGCCCUGGCAGUCUGGGUGCUUUUAUAUCUGCUUUGGAAUGGUGAGUAUCUCCAGACUAGCAGUUGUUCUCAAGGAUGGUGAUGUUUUCCAGAGGGACAAACUUCAGUUGAAGAACAAUUAUAAUAAAGAAGGUUUGUGAAUAGCUGUUCUUUCCUGACCUGAGAGAGCCACUUUUGUGCCUGGAGAAAUCACUGAGGGUUUGAGCAAAAAAGACCGAAGACUAAACCCAACUUGUCUAGAGAUCUAAUGUUCCACUAGAGUGAGUAUUAAAAAUAGUUUGGGGAGCUAAAAUGAUCUUUGGUGCCUACAGCAAUGAACUACAUGAAAUAAUCCUGCUCAAGUCCUGGGACUUCAGAGGCUUACUUUGAGCUGACCUCCUGUUAAAGGACUUGAAACGACAGCCCUUGCAAUUCAGCUUGUCCAACUUGAUUAGAUUUUAUCUGGAGCUUGAUUGAAUUUGUGAACAAGAUUAUGAAAAGCAACAUGACUGCCAAUGAGGUGAACAGUCUUUGAGGGGAAAUUCUCUGGUAUCCCAGAGGGUAGUGCUUUUAAGUUCAGUUAUGAAUAUUAGAAUUCCUUGAUUAAGUUAGUUGCAAAUUUUAAUAAGGCGUUCUUGCCGCUGUGGAUCAUUUUAACACAAAGCUUAACACAAAGCUUGUGUGGUGUUUGCUUCCUGGAAGGGGAAGGGUCUUCUCCCCAUCUUAGCUGUUCUCAAACUGGUCUUGGAGACCCUGGGAUCUUAUUAUUUUAGGGAAAAGCUUUGAUCAUCAAGCACAGCAGCAGAAAUAGCCUUGAUUGUUAGUGUGGAGCUAUGUCUGCUGUGCUUCGCUGCUCUGGCAGGUCAGAUGGGAGAUGAUGACCUCUGGGUAGUUCACCUAAACAACACAUCUUGGUAUUUAUGUUGUGGAUAUCAAAGUCAGUCUCACUGGAGAACACGGGGAUUUAGAGCCUUUUUUUUUUUUUUUGUAAAAGGAGAAGAAAAUAGAGGGAAACCUGGCUAUCUUCCCUCUGUGGAUGGGGGAAAUGACAGGUUUUGGAAGCUGCUCUUCUAUUACUGUUUCCUUUUCCUGGCUGUGGUUGUAAGUGUGGCAUUGUCUCCAGCUCAGAGGCCACACCAGUGAUGUGAUGAGUGAUUGCUUGAGCCCAGGGAGAGCCACACUACCCAUCACAGUCUCAAUUGUCACAACUUUUCAUGGUGGCGUUCUUGUUUUAAUUCUGUAGCUAAAUGUUCAGCUGUGGUGUUG